AAAAAACAUAUUCAAAUGAAGCAAAUUUAUCGAGUGCCUUUCGAGCGCAAUUCCGAAAGGGUGAAACGACUGCGGCAUGAUUAUGCAGAGAGAGUUUUACGAAUGGAUGGAGAGGAGAUCCAGCAUCAGUUCAUUUACGUAGAUGAGGCUGGGUUCAACCUGAAGAGAACACGAAGGAGGGGAAGAAACAUCAUUGGCCACAGGGCUAUAGUCAAUGUCCCAGGGCAACGUGGGGGUAAUAUAACACUCUGUGCAGCCAUUACACAGAAUGGGGUCCUCCACCGCCAUGCCCAUAUGGGCCCUUACAACACAGCACUCAUACUUACAUUCUUGGACCAAUUGCACAACAUAACAGCAGCAAAUCAAAUGGAUCAUAUGCAAUACAUUGUUGUCUGGGACAAUGUGUCUUUCCACCGCUCUGGUCUGGUUCAGAACUGGUUUCAGCAACAUCCACAUUUCACCGUCCUAUAUCUUCCACCAUACUCUCCAUUCCUCAACC
ensembl:lncRNA